rnacentral:rRNA from 1 species
AGACUGCAGGCUGCAACUCGCCUGCACGAAGUCGGAAUUGCUAGUAAUCGUAGGUCAGCAUACUACGGUGAAUACGUUCCCGGGCCUUGUACACACCGCCCGUCAAACCAUGAGAGUCGGGAACACCCGAAGUCCGUAGCCUAACCGCAAGGGGGGCGCGGCCGAAGGUGGGUUCGAUAAUUGGGGUGAAGUCGUAACAAGGUAAC